rnacentral:lncRNA from 1 species
CAGGAGAAGGCAGUUGGUCUGUACACUUUUGACUUGAGACCUCCUGAGAAGGUCAAUAUCUGACUGGAUCCCAAUCUCAGGAAUCUUUCCUUUCCCUGAACCUAACCACCAUCCUCCCAUACCAGCAAGUGGACAGAGAAGAGAGAGAGAAAAGGUAAGAGUCACAGUUGGUGACCCAUCAUGCAUGCAGUACCAGUUCUAUCUCACAGCCAGACUCAGGGAAAAAUCAGGUGGGAAACAUUCCUAUUCAAAAGUAAAUAGCACAAUUGGGAAACAAAUUCAGAAGGAAUUCUACUUUGAGCUGUGCUGAGAGCAUCCAUCCCCUCAGCUCUUUCCCAGACUAAAGACUUCUACUGAUGAUAAUUCAGGAUCAUACUUCUGAGUACCUAUUCUUAAAUGGUGGAUUACUGACUUAAUAAUCCAUAGACAACUAUACUUGUUUUCAAAACUCAAAAUAAUAACAGUUACAUUUCUAAAAGGUUUUACUUUAAAUGGCAAAUUUCAACAACCACAAUUUAGAGCUGAAUAGAAUGAAUCUUUCUUUCAUGCAGUUGCAAAAUAAAGGUUUACCAGGAUUCA